CGCGAAUGGCUCAUUACAACAGCCAUAGUUUAUUGGAUCUUAGAGUCCUACUUGGAUACCUGUGGUAAUUCUAGAGCUAAUACACGCAAUCAAGCCCCAACCUGACGGGCGGGGCGCAUUUAUUAGAACAAAACCAAUUGGCUUCGGCCAUUAAUUGGUGAAUCUGAAUAACUACGCUGAUCGCACGGUCUCGUACCGGCGACGUAUCCUUCAAGUGUCUGCCUUAUCAACUUUCGAUGGUAGUUUACAUGACUACCAUGGUUGUAACGGGUAACGGAGAAUAAGGGUUCGACUCCGGAGAGGGAGCCUGAGAAACGGCUACCACAUCCAAGGAAGGCAGCAGGC
rnacentral:rRNA from 1 species